GUCACUAGAUUCCUCAAAAGUUGUCCAAAAUUCAAACACAUCAAAAGACUGCUCGCUCAAAGAAGAGCAACUUUGCUCGUGAAUCACUCGUGAGUGUUCCGAAAAGUGUGUGCAAACAGACGAGGCAAAGCAAAAACUAUAAUAUUCGUCCACACAAGAAGACCGGGAAAUUUGUUAUUGCUGCAAUCGAAUUCAAGUAAGAUCGUGCUCCCCCAAUUGAGCAGAGCGAGACGACCCCAGGCUCCACCGGAGCCGUCUCGCUCAUUUUAAUAGCUGAGUUACCCCCUCUCCCAUACCACACUUGAAAAAGCAAACGCCACACAAUUGCACACACUUGUUCUAAACCCGUUCGCGAGCGCGCUCCCUCUCUCCGUCUUUCUAAUCAUCCUCAUUGAUGAAGAGCAGCAGCAAGCACACUCAUCCUCCUUCGCAACAAAACGCGCGCUCGCUAGUGAACCUCAUCCGAAUGAGCGAGGUAAACAAAAAUCGCUCACGCUCUCGCGCGAGUGAAUUCCAUCGUUGGCCGCUCGCGCACGGAGGGAAAUCGUGCGGCAAAAGCGCAUGAGCUCCCGCAAAAAUUGCAACAAAAAGAAAUGUUUGAAAGAUUGAAAGAGGAAAAUAAAAGCAGGAAUUGCAUGUAACGGAGAAAGAGACUUGCUCAACGAACGGAGAAGAUAAGGGUUUCUUGUUACACACACACCCUCGGCAAUAACCUUAACGCAGGACCCUAUUUUUCUAUGCUGCACAGAGCUCUAAUUUAUGGUUUCGAAUGCAACCAAUCGAAACCGAACGAAACGAGCACCUGAAUAAUAUCCUACGUUCAGGUGAAAGUGUUUGAAGUUGAAGAUUUUCGGCGAGAUGAUGCGGAUGGUUAAGG